rnacentral:rRNA from 1 species
UACGUAGGGCGCAAGCGUUAUCCGGAAUUAUUGGGCGUAAAGAGCUCGUAGGCGGUUUGUCGCGUCUGCCGUGAAAGUCCGGGGCUCAACUCCGGAUCUGCGGUGGGUACGGGCAGACUAGAGUGAUGUAGGGGAGACUGGAAUUCCUGGUGUAGCGGUGAAAUGCGCAGAUAUCAGGAGGAACACCGAUGGCGAAGGCAGGUCUCUGGGCUGACACUGACGCUGAAGCGCGAAAGCUAGGGGAGCGAACGGG